AGAAUUCAGAGCCGGCUCUGUCUGGGGCGGCCCAGGCCUCAGCCCCAGCAUUCCUGACCCCCUCCCCCCAAGCCUGGGACAGCUGCUCCGGAACUCAGCAACUGGCUAGGGAUCGAAUCCCAAUUCAGCUUUUCCAGAGGCUCAGCCGUUUCUCCAUGAUGACACAGAAGUACAGCGCUCUCAGCGCUCUCAGGUCCUUACCUCAUAAUCCACAUGCAAUUGGAUUACAGAGCGUUUAUGGGACAUAAGAGAAACAAGAGACCAAGACCCUUGAACCUCCUGCAGAGAUGCUCCCUGCAGUCGCAUCCUCCAGGGUGUCUCUCCUUGUGUCUUUUUGCUACAGCUGGUUUUUCAGGGCUGGGGAUGGAACUCUGGGCCUCCUGCAUGUUGAGGAAGGCAGACCAACCCUGAGUAUGGUCUCUCUCUGCUCCCUGGAAGUGGAUGCAAUAGGGCCUGCUGCUUCCCACUCCUGUAGCCACCUACCCUGUCUGCACCAUCACCCCUUCCUCCAUUAAGUUGUUUUGGGGGGGAGGUGUUUUGUCACAGCAAUAAGAAAAGUAACCAUCAGGGCAUGGUGGUGCACACUUUUAUUUAGUCCCAACACGUGGGAGGCAGAGGCAAUCUGUGAGUUCAAAGCCAGCUUGGUCUACAGAAUGAGUUCCGGGCCAGGCAGAGACCUUGUGACCCAAAUGGCAAAAUAAAAUACAUCAUUAAUACCUAACUAGAAUGUGACUGGGUUGCUAAAAGGUCUCCUUUCUAAUUCUUGCUCUCCACUGGGCUAGAGCUAUAAUCUUAAAUCCUUUACCUACAGAAAGCUUAGAGCUGGGAGACAGGAGAGAAAUGGAGAUUUGAGGGGUUGGGGAUUUAGCUCAGUGGUAGAGUGUUUGCCUAGCAAGUGCAAGGCCCUGGGUUUGGUCCUCAGCUCUGAAAAAAAAAAGACAAAAUAACAAGAAAUG
rnacentral:lncRNA from 1 species